rnacentral:rRNA from 1 species
UACGAAGGGGGCUAGCGUUGCUCGGAAUCACUGGGCGUAAAGCGCACGUAGGCGGAUUCCUAAGUCGGGGGUGAAAUCCUGGAGCUCAACUCCAGAACUGCCUUUGAUACUGAGGAUCUUGAGUCCGGGAGAGGUGAGUGGAACUGCGAGUGUAGAGGUGAAAUUCGUAGAUAUUCGCAAGAACACCAGUGGCGAAGGCGGCUCACUGGCCCGGUACUGACGCUGAGGCACGAAAGCGUGGGGAGCAAACAGG